rnacentral:rRNA from 1 species
CGGCAACGGGGUUAGACAACAGGGAUGCCUCAGUAACGGCGAGUGAAGCGGCAACAGCUCAAAUUUGAAAUCUGGCCGCAAGGUCCGAGUUGUAAUUUGUAGAGGAUGUUUCGGGCACCGCCGCGGUGUAAGUUCCUUGGAACAGGACGUCAAAGAGGGUGAGAAUCCCGUCUUGGAUCGCGGUAGGGCUCGUGUGAAACUCCUUCGACGAGUCGACUUGUUUGGGAAUGCAGGUCAAAAUGGGAGGUAAAUUUCUUCUAAAGCUAAAUAUUGGCCCGAGACCGAUAGCGCACAAGUAGAGUGAUCGAAAGAUGAAAAGCACUUUGAAAAGAGAGUUAAACAGUAUGUGAAAUUGUUGAAAGGGAAGCGCAGGCAACCAGACUCGAGCGCGGGGUUCCCCUGGUUCUGCCAGGUCACUUCCCCGCGACCGGGCCAUCAUCAGGUUUGGGGGUCGGUCAAAGGCCCCGGGAAUGUACCUACUCCUUCGGGGGUAGACUUAUAGCCCGGGGUGUCAUGCGACCUCCCGGGCCUGAGGAACGCGCUUCGGCGAGGAUGAUGGCGUAAUGGUUGUCUGCGACCCGUCUUGAAACACGGACCUA